rnacentral:rRNA from 1 species
UACGAAGGGGGCUAGCGUUGCUCGGAAUCACUGGGCGUAAAGCGCACGUAGGCGGAUUGCUAAGUCAGGGGUGAAAUCCUGGAGCUCAACUCCAGAACUGCCUUUGAUACUGGCGACCUUGAGUCCGGGAGAGGUGAGUGGAACUGCGAGUGUAGAGGUGAAAUUCGUAGAUAUUCGCAAGAACACCAGUGGCGAAGGCGGCUCACUGGCCCGGUACUGACGCUGAGGUGGACGAAAGCGUGGGGAGCAAACAGG